GAAGUAGGGGAUAACACCUGGAAACAGAUGCUAAUACCGUAUAACAGAGAAAACCGCAUGGUUUUCUUUUAAAAGAUGGCUCUGCUAUCACUUCUGGAUGGACCCGCGGCGUAUUAGCUAGUUGGUGAGGUAAAGGCUCACCAAGGCAGUGAUACGUAGCCGACCUGAGAGGGUAAUCGGCCACAUUGGGACUGAGACACGGCCCAGACUCCUACGGGAGGCAGCAGUAGGGAAUCUUCCACAAUGGACGCAAGUCUGAUGGAGCAACGCCGCGUGAGUGAAGAAGGGUUUCGGCUCGUAAAGCUCUGUUGUUAAAGAAGAACGUGGGUAAGAGUAACUGUUUACCCAGUGACGGUAUUUAACCAGAAAGCCACGGCUAACUACGUGCCAGCAGCCGCGGUAAUACGUAGGUGGCAAGCGUUAUCCGGAUUUAUUGGGCGUAAAGCGAGCGCAGGCGGUCUUUUAAGUCUAAUGUGAAAGCCUUCGGCUCAACCGAAGAAGUGCAUUGGAAACUGGGAGACUUGAGUGCAGAAGAGGACAGUGGAACUCCAUGUGUAGCGGUGAAAUGCGUAGAUAUAUGGAAGAACACCAGUGGCGAAGGCGGCUGUCUGGUCUGCAACUGACGCUGAGGCUCGAAAGCAUGGGUAGCGAACAGGAUUAGAUACCCUGGUAGUCCAUGCCGUAAACGAUGAUUAC
rnacentral:rRNA from 1 species